GACGAACGCUGGCGGCGUGCUUAACACAUGCAAGUCGAACGGAAAGGCCCUGCUUUUGUGGGGUGCUCGAGUGGCGAACGGGUGAGUAACACGUGAGUAACCUGCCCUUGACUUUGGGAUAACUUCAGGAAACUGGGGCUAAUACCGGAUAGGAGCUCCUGCUGCAUGGUGGGGGUUGGAAAGUUUCGGCGGUUGGGGAUGGACUCGCUGGUUAUCAGAUUGUUGGUGGGGUAGUGGCUUACCAAGGCUUUGACGGUUAGCCGGCCUGAGAGGGUGACCGGCGAAAUGGGGACUGAGAGACGGACCAGAAUGCAACGGGAGGAAGGAGUGGGGAAUAUUGAACAAUGGGCGGAAGCAUGAUGAAGAAAAGCAGCGUGCGGGAUGACGGCCUUCGGGUUGUAAAAAGAUUUGGACUGUGACGAAGCGUGAGUGACGGUAAUGGGUAAAGAAGCACCGGCUAACUACGUG
rnacentral:rRNA from 1 species